CAGCAACGCCGCGUGCGGGAAGAAGGCUUUCGGGCUGUAAACCGCUUUCAGCAGGAACGAAAAUGACGGUACCUGCAGAAGAAGGAGCGGCCAACUAUGUGCCAGCAGCCGCGGUGAUACAUAGGCUUCCAGCGUUGUCCGGAUUUAUUGGGCGUAAAGAAUUCGUAGGCGGUCGAGUAAGUCGGGUG
rnacentral:rRNA from 1 species